GCAGCCGUGAGGCAUGCAUAUGCGGCGUGCCGUACGUACCGGGGAAGCCAACCGAGGGGUGCAACAGGUCCAUGGCGGCCCCGCUCAGGCCCUGCAGGCGGUUCAUGCAGGCGUACGGGCCCUGCUUGAGAUGAUUGACGCGGGUCUCCGCGGCUCGCGCUCUAAAGAGUCAAGCAAGCGUCGGGCUUUCCAGCUUUCAGCCAAUCACAGCCUCCCUUGGCUACCCCUAUGUCCAAUCAGAUCGCCAGAUUGGCCAAUCAUUUCCGCCCACUGGUCAACUGAGGGACGAGGAGACGUGAGGGGAAAAGUUUACCUCGGGAAGACGAAGCAAACUUGCCUUUACAUUUUUUCUCAAAGUAAUAAAAUGUAUGAAAAUAAGGAAAAAGUGUGUUGCGUCUUGUCGCCCUGGGAGUCAAGUAGGCGCUCAAGCUUUCCAUCGGUCAGCCAAUCACAGCGCGCCCUCAUCUCCCCUGGUGGCCUGCGCGUCCAAUCAGAUUGCCAGAUUGACCGAGGAGCUCUCAUGUGACGAGUGGAAAAGUUAGCCUCGCUAAAGUUGGACAAGAACGCGAAGCAAAGUUCGUCACAAUUUUUCUCCAAUUCAUGCGGUAAAAAUGGCAGAGAGAGAGAGAGAGAGAGGCUGCUGAUGAACUCUGGUUUUAUGCGCUGGCUGCAAAGUAGAAGGCGUAUGAAAUUGCAAGAGAGUGUGGAGCCAUCAGGACAACAUCUUCUUC